rnacentral:rRNA from 1 species
GUUCAGAGAGGGGUCAAUGUCCUAUCAGCUAGUUGGGAGGGUAAUGGCCUACCAAGGCGAAGACGGGUAGCCGGCCUGAGAGGGUGGUCGGCCACAUUGGGACUGAGACACUGCCCAGACUCCUACGGGAGGCUGCAGUCGAGUAUCUUUCGCAAUGCCCGAAAGGGUGACGAAGCGACGCCGCGUGUGGGAAUAAGGCCUUCGGGUUGUAAACCACUGUCAGGAGUUAAGAAGUGCAAGGGUGCGAAUAGCGCCUUUGCUUGACUAAGGCUCCAGAGGAAGCCACGGCUAACUCUGUGCCAGCAGCCGCGGUAAUACAGAGGUGGCAAGCGUUGUUCGGAAUUAUUGGGCGUAAAGAGCACGUAGGCGGUUCUGCAAGUCGGCUGUGAAAGCCUUCCGCUCAACGGAAGAACAGCAGUUGAUACUACAGGACUAGAGUGCGGGAGGG